AGGCAAGGUAUGCACCUCUUUAACAUGAUGUGUCUAAAUAUAUCUUAGGAGAUUUAGCUCAUGAGCUUGAUCCCUUAUGAAGUCUCAUGAAUGCCAUGCAAUGUACUUGACUUGAUCUUGUUGUGAGUGUUACGAGCAGAGAUCAAUCGAAUCCAGAUAUUUAAUACUGUAUAGCUGUGAAGAACAUCCUUAAGUACUUGAAAAGUAUUAAAGAUUUGUUCUUGAUUUUUGAAGAAGAAUUUUGAGUUAUAGGGUUUAUGGGUACACAUGCUCAGAUCUUGAGUCUGGCACUGAUGGUAGAGAAUCUACAUCAGAAUGUAUGCAAUGUGAAAAUUGG
rnacentral:lncRNA from 1 species